UGUGUCCUACGGGGCGCAGCAGUGAGGAAUAUUGGGCAAUGGCCGAGAGGCUGAACCAGCCAAGUCGCGUGAGGGAAGACGGCCCUACGGGUUGUAAACCUCUUUUGUCGGGGAGCAAAGCGAACCACGUGUGGUUCAUUGAGAGUACCCGAAGAAAAAGCAUCGGCUAACUCCGUGCCAGCAGCCGCGGUAAUACGGAGGAUGCGAGCGUUAUCCGGAUUUAUUGGGUUUAAAGGGUGCGUAGGCGGAACAUUAAGUCAGCGGUAAAAUCGAGGGGCUCAACCCCUUUAAGCCGUUGAA
rnacentral:rRNA from 1 species